rnacentral:ncRNA from 1 species
UCCUUCUGUAGCAGAGCUUAACGGAGACCUUGCACCCGAGAGGGGGGAGACGACUAUAAACAAGCUUCCAGCGCAAGUCAGCACUGCUGGCAACACAAUCGAAUUGCGGGGACGCUUUAAAGCCCACCAGUACCAACGGCUCCUUAGGGGGCCGGGCGAGCCUAGCUCGAGGUCACAACCUGGUGGGAUGGUACAAUAAGCAAUCCGCAGCGGCAGAGCCGUCCACAGACUAAGUGGUUGUGGGUAGGAGACCCCUAUCUAAGAUAUAGUCGGGCCCGAGGAGCAAUCCCCGGGGCUUCUGCGUCCGUAGGUGAACCUGCGGAAGGAUCAUUA